GUAGGUGAACCUGCGGAAGGAUCAUUAUCGUGGGGCUCCGGCCCCGUCGAGAUAACACCCUUGCCUUUAUGAGUACCCUUCGUUUUCCUCGGCCGGAUUCGGCCAGUGGGGAGCACAAAACACCCUGUCACCACCUGUAACAGUCUGAUAAAACAAACAAAAAUCAAAACUUUCAACAACGGAUCUCUUGGUUCUG
rnacentral:misc_RNA from 1 species